rnacentral:rRNA from 1 species
GUCCACGCCCUAAACUAUGUCGACUAGCUGUUUCGAGUAUCGACCCUCGGAGUGGCGCAGCUAACGCGUUAAGUCGACCGCCUGGGAAGUACGAGCGCAAGCUUAAAACUCAAAGGAAUAGACGGGGUUCGCACAAGCGGAGGAACAUGAGGUUUAAUUCGAUAGUAAGCGAGGAACCUUACCUGGGUUUGAAGCCCAAAUGACGAUUUGCCGAAAGGCAGAUCUCUGGAUUUUCUAGCAUUUGGGCAGGUGCUGCAUGGUUGCCGU